UAAACUAGGAUUAGAUACCCUAUUAUUAUAUAUGUUAAUUUUAACUAGGGUAUUAAUAGAUAUGUUCUUUAAAUCUAAAGAACUUGGCGGUGUUUUAGUCUAUUUAGAGGAAUUUGUGCCGUUAUCGAUAGUCCUCGUUUUAUCUUGCUUUAUUUUGUUUAUCAGUAUGUAUACCGCCGUUAUCAGUUUAUUUUAUUAAAAUUUUAAAUUUACUUUAUUUAUUAUUUAAAUUUAUUUCAGU
rnacentral:rRNA from 1 species